rnacentral:rRNA from 1 species
AUCUGGUUGAUCCUGCCAGUAGUCAUACGCUCGUCUCAAAGAUUAAGCCAUGCAUGUGUAAGUAUAAAUAGUUAACUUUGAAACUGCGAAUGGCUCAUUAUAUCAGUUAUAGUUUAUUUGAUGAAGAAUACUAAUUGGAUAACCGUAGUAAUUCUAGAGCUAAUACAUGUAUAAAGUCUUGUAGACUGCAUUUAUUAGAAUGAAAACCAUAGGUUUCGGCCUAUUCGUGAGUAAUAAUAACUAAUCAUAUCGUAUGCUUAUGUAACGAUGUGUCUUUCAAGUUUCUGCCCUAUCAGCUUUCGAUGGUAGUGUAUUGGACUACCAUGGCAGUAACGGGUAACGAAGAAUUUGGGUUCGAUUUCGGAGAGGGAGCCUGAGAGAUGGCUACCACAUCCAAGGAAGGCAGCAGGCGCGUAAAUUACCCUAUCCUGACACAGGGAGGUAGUGACAAUAAAUCACAAUGCGGAACAAUGUUUUGCAAUUGGAUUGAGAACAACGUACAAACCUUAUCGAUAAACAAUUGGAGGGCAAGUCUGGUGCCAGCAGCCGCGGUAAUUCCAGCUCCAAUAGCGUAUAUUAACGUUGUUGCAGUUAAAAAGC